ensembl:lincRNA
GAGACCAGUACCUUUAGAAUGACUAGCAAGCCAGAGGAGUACGUUAUGGAGAUUGAACAAAAUGCAGCUGAAACGUUUCCCAGAAAUCCAUACUGUUUGAGUGAAGGAACACAAUGUGGGUGUAGACUGCACAAUGUGAUAAUUCAGCCGCAGAUGGCUUCAGGAAAACCAUGGUCACUCUGGAAAACAUGUCUAGUGUGUCUAUUGGCCUGCUUGAUAGCCUCAGCCAUUGUAGCUUUGGUCAGCCAUUUUGGCCAGUAUGGCAAGCCCAUCGGCAAUACCACCAUCAUCAUUCAUGCAGAUGGAAGAUCCAACCAGGGUGCUGGAAUCCCUACUUAUACCCCACCUACCUCAUCUACCUCACCUGGACCUCAGAGCACCACACCUUCUACCCCCACAACCAGCCCAAGUACAUCUACUAGCGUACCCACAACUUCCAUGGAGACGACUACCACCAUCUCGACCACCACCCCAAUACACCAUGUUGAUAUUGAGUAUGAGGAUGAAGAGUAGCUUGGAGCCCUCAGUCCUCUUCAAGCCAGAGCUAAACCUCUACUCUAAAGGAGGCAUUCCCUGCAUUCUCUCUCCUUGCUUUGUAAGGACCUGUUUCUCUUGCUCAGUGCUUUGCUGGCUUCUCAUAUGGUGAUGACUUAGUCUUGGGCCCACUGAUGUUCAAAUGACUGGGAAAGAAAAUGACUAUGGGUCUGGGUGAUUCAUCCAGGUUACAGCAGAGAAUAUUUUUUUUCCCACUCCUGUACUAACGAGAACUUCAACUCAUAAAAAGGCUGCCAAUGAGCCCUAUUCAAUUUAGCUCCCUGCAUCUCUUUUCUGAAUCCAGUAUCUACCAUCUGGCCAGUGUGGAUUCUUUCCUAAUCGCAUAUAUUUGACCCUUACUCACUAUUUGUAUGCCAGCAGGGAAAGAAGACAAUGUUCAGUUAGAGCGAUUAACAAGCAUAAUUUACUAAAUACCUAUGGAUCUUUUGAAGGGGGGCCUAUUUUGGAGAAUUCAGAAACAGUGGUCCUCAGUGAGAGGUAAACAAGGAAGGAUUCUGAAAAACAGUUAAACAUGGGAAAGGGGUGAAGGUUUAGAUUUAGGGAGAUGGUUAGAACAGAGAAUGAAAGCACCAAGGAAGUGUAAUGGAAUUAAAAGCCAAGGCACCUACAUGUCCCUGCAAUUUCUCAUGAAGAUCCCCAAUAAUAUUUUACAUAUCUGAUACUGCUUAAUCUCUAAACUAUUUUGAAGUGCUACGUAGAAAUUUUAAGCUUUUAAGUUGUUUUGUAAGUUACAGCAUAAUUUAAGAGGACAUAUUGCUUGUAAUUUGCUGUGAAACAUAAGACUUGUUCAACAUUACUCAUGUUACAAGUGGUUAGUACAGUUCUAAUUAGAAGCAAGUGUUUUUCAGUUUGGAAAAGACUUCAGGGGCAAAGAAACCUGCCUGCCUUAGCUUUAGUCUACUAACUCUACAAAAAGGGAAGAUAGAAAGACUAAGCCAAAGACAGACUCAGUGAGUCAACGUUGGAACUCACAUCUCUAGUUUAUAUUUUCUGAUUCUCUUUUGCACACAAUUAGAGGUCCUGCACACACUCUGAAAGCACUGUUUCAUUUUUCAAGAUCUCCCAAUGCAAAAGACUUUGUACUUCAUAUAAAUCUAAAUUGGUUUUCUGCAGUCCAUAAUAGACCACUUAGAUUAGCUAUUAAGUUCUUACUGAAUAAUUAAGCUCUGCAUAAGAAAAAUUAGAAAUUAUCAUUCUUUAGAUAGUUGUUGUCUAUAGGUAGUUAGUAUUAUUUUUCAAAUAUUGAUAAAUGUAAGAAUUUGAGUAUUUGAAGUUAUUUGACAAACCACAAACAUUCAGUAGUAGAUCUUAAGAAUGAUGCGAGGUAUAAUGUAAAUCUUAAACAAUAAAUUUUGUUAAGCUCUAGAUUGAUAAAGCACUAGAUAAGAAUAAGGUGCAAGAAAGUAAGUACACACACAUUUUUUUCCUGCAGCAUAAUUUUAAAACAAUGCACUUGAAUUGUAUUUUGAUUUAAAUGCUUGUGAAGAUGAAAGCUUAAAUUUACUGGGAUCAAAUUACUUAUGUAAUUUAAAUUUUGUUUUGUGAGAUGAAAGUAAAAAAUAAGUUUUAAAGAAUUCUCUAAACAAAUAAAGAAUGAUACAGAA